CCUACGGGAGGCAGCAGUAGGGAAUCUUCCGCAAUGGACGAAAGUCUGACGGAGCAACGCCGCGUGAACGAUGAAGGCCUUCGGGUCGUAAAGUUCUGUUGUUAGGGAAGAACAAGUGCUAGUUGAAUAAGCUGGCACCUUGACGGUACCUAACCAGAAAGCCACGGCUAACUACGUGCCAGCAGCCGCGGUAAUACGUAGGUGGCAAGCGUUGUCCGGAAUUAUUGGGCGUAAAGCGCGCGCAGGCGGUUUCUUAAGUCUGAUGUGAAAGCCCCCGGCUCAACCGGGGAGGGUCAUUGGAAACUGGGAAACUUGAGUGCAGAAGAGGAAAGUGGAAUUCCAAGUGUAGCGGUGAAAUGCGUAGAGAUUUGGAGGAACACCAGUGGCGAAGGCGACUUUCUGGUCUGUAACUGACGCUGAGGCGCGAAAGCGUGGGGAGCAAACAGGAUUAGAUACCCUGGUAGUCCACGCUGUAAACGAUGAGUGCUAAGUGUUAGAGGGUUUCCGCCCUUUAGUGCUGAAGUUAACGCAUUAAGCACUCCGCCUGGGGAGUACGGUCGCGAGACUACAACUACAAGAGUAGUAGCGNGNGAGCGCGACGACGACGACGACGGAGGAG
rnacentral:rRNA from 1 species